GGUUCUCAAGGAUUUCGUCAUCACUUAUCAAUGCGUUUUUGAAGCGGCGGAACACUUCACACUGAAACAGAACAGGAAUAUAUCAAUUGCAAUGCUACCCAAAAGGAACGAAAAGUCAACGUUUUGGAAGGGCUUCCGAUAGUGGAUGAAUGAACACAAGGACAAGCUCUGCCUGUCUGCUGCUGAAGGCAAGCAUUAUUUUGCAUAAAGGGGUGAUCCUCCUGAAUCCAUGAAACCCCCAUGGGAUACACCACUGCUACCCACGGAUCAAGAAUGUUAAACCAGGCUGCUAUAUCUGGAUAUUACCUGUAUGUAAGCCAAGGCGAGUUCACGGCAGUGGUACACUUGACUGUCAUUGCGUGCCGUGAAGGAAUCCUAUUGACAGAAUAGCAUUACAUAGAUUAGUAUACAAGAGAUAUUGGAAUCCAUAAUCACUUUCACAAGAUUUUCAUUAUUUAACAUUUUUUUAAAAUUAAAGUGACUGUUUAUAGUCAAUAUCUAUUAUGAUGUAGUUCCACCGCAAAUAAAUUCUCUUACCUUCCCCAU